AUGCUUGUUCUAUCCUGUGGGCCUGGCAGAUGGAAGCUUGGGAAUGAAGUAUGCAGUUCUCAACAAAAUCACAAAUUUGAAAUGCAAAGAUUUCAAAACACAGUUCAUGGGAAGUGCCCUCUGCUGUCCCACCUGGGAGAGGUUCUGGUUUCUUCUGGGUUGCAGAAAGGUGAAACUUUGUUGUUGACUUUACUUUCUGGCUGUUUGUCUUUCCUCUUCUGCACUGCUGCACCUAGCAAACCACUUCUCUGUUCCUCUUCCCUGACCCAUUUCCUAAGGCUGAGCCCUGCAUACUAGGCAGGAUCUCUGUGUGACACUGUUCUGACUUUUCUUCCUACAGGAUGUGAGCAAGACAGGACAGUGGAAAGGGUUGUCCUGUCUUCUGCUAUCCAGAUUUGUAGGACAUUUUUUUUGUUUCUCUCCUCCACAGAUAGGGAGGAGCCCCAGCCAGAGAGCAGUCUGUGUGCACUCCCAGUUUUAGGGCAUGGUACACAGCAGGAGAAAGCAAUGAGCAUUUAGCUAGAGUAGUGAGGAAUUCACACUUAUGCAGAUUAGUCUGUUCCUAAUUUCUGACUCAACAAUAAUGUUUGAUAGGAUCCAAAGCUGAACAUUUGCUCUUUAUUAGUUUCAAACAGUGAAGCAUUAGUGUCAGUCAGAAACUCCUUCCCCCUCCCCCCCCCCCCCCCCUUUUAGUAAUCAUAGUGUGAGAAAAGAGUUACUGUGAAUGCAGAGUCUGAAAAAAAGUCCAUCCAGAGAAAUAGUCUCAGUGUAAACUCAGUGCGAGAAGAUAGUGAUCCUUGUGUUUUAUGAACUCCUAACAUCAAGUGAUCUGUGGCCCAGAAAAUUCCAAAGCAAGAGGUGAUGGCUUCAUAUUUAGUAGCCCCAGACUGAGUAUUCUUCCAUGCAGUUCUCCAGAUGAUUUACAGAUUUAUCUACAUGUACAAAUCCACAAAUCUGAAAGCAGGUCCAGGGCUUCUGUAUGUGUUUUGGGAUAAAAUGGUGCCUCCUGUUUGUCUGACCUUGCUGUCUGCUAUUUGCAUUUGAUGUCUGUAUGUUUUUUGUGGCAGAAGAGACAAAAACUGUCCUUGUGAUGUAAAUCAUGUCUGCAGUGAACUGCAUACCAAAGAGAAAGCAAAAGAUAAUGAUCUAAGGGUUUUCUGUGGUGGAAGAGGAUAUAACACUCAUGUGUAUCUUAACUGCAUAUACACUUUGUAUAUGUGCACAUAUCUGAACAGUAUAUAUCUGAACUGUGAUGGACUUUGCCAAUACAAAGUACCGAUGAAAGUGGAUCCAAAUAAAUCUAACCCCUGUCUUUCA
rnacentral:lncRNA from 1 species